rnacentral:rRNA from 1 species
AAUAUUUGUCAAUGGGGGCGAACCUGAUCCAGCCAUGCCGCGUGUGUGUAGAAGGACUUCGGAUUGUAUAGCACGUUAAGUUGGGAGUAAGGGCAGUAAGUUAAUACCUUGCUGUGUUGACGUUACCGCCAGAAUAAGCACCGGCUAACUUCGUCACAGCAGCCGCGGUAAUACGAAGGGUGCAAGCGUUAAUUGGAAUUACUGGGCGUAAAGCGCGAGUAGGUGGUUUGUUAAGUUGGAAGUGAAAGCCCCGGGCGCAACCUGGGAACUGCUUUCAAAACUGGCAAGCUAGAGUAUGGCAGAGGGUGGUGGAAUUUCCUGUGUAGCGGUGAAAUGCGUAGAUAUAGGAAGGAACACCAGUGGCGAAGGCGACUACCUGGACUGAUACUGACACUGAGGUGCAAAAGCGUGGGGAGCAAAC